GUGAAACGAGGUGAAAUAAUUGGUUGCAAAUUUAUACUCAUAUUCCUGUGAUUUCAAUUACCAAAUUGAACUUCGUAUCAUAUAUGCAUACUGUCAGUCAUUCCAACAAGUUGACUUAGCGCUCAGUCACUUUCCAUCCAAAAGACCCAUCAUUCUGUCUAAAAAUCAUGUUUUAAGCACACAUAUAGUGGAAUACAAAUCUGCCGAGUUAAGGAUCUUUUCUGAAUCUCGCAAUUUCAGUGGCGUACCCUGCAACAGCAUGUUUGUUGUUAUGGC